rnacentral:rRNA from 1 species
AGAGUUUGAUCCUGGCUCAGAAUCAACGCUGGCGGCGUGCCUAACACAUGCAAGUCGCACGAGAAAGGGACUUCGGUCCUGAGUACAGUGGCGCACGGGUGAGUAACACGUGAAUCAUCUACCUCCGAGUGGGGAAUAACUGAGAGAAAUCUUAGCUAAUACCGCAUAACACUUACGAGUCAAAGCAGCAAUGCGCUUGGAGAGGAGUUCGCGGCAGAUUAGUUAGUUGGCGGGGUAAUGGCCCACCAAGACGAUGAUCUGUAUCCGGCCUGAGAGGGCGCACGGACACACUGGAACUGAAACACGGUCCAGACUCCUACGGGAGGCAGCAGUGGGGAAUUUUGCGCAAUGGGGGAAACCCUGACGCAGCAACGCCGCGUGGAGGAUGAAAUCCCUUGGGAUGUAAACUCCUUUCGAUAGGGAAGAUAAUGACGGUACCUAUAGAAGAAGCCCCGGCUAACUUCGUGCCAGCAGCCGCGGUAAUACGAGGGGGGCAAGCGUUGUUCGGAAUUAUUGGGCGUAAAGGGUGCGUAGGCGGUUUGACAAGUCUCAUGUGAAAUCUUCGGGCUCAACCCGAAGUCUGCAUGGGAAACUGUCGGGCUUGAGUAUGGGAGAGGUGAGUGGAAUUUCCGGUGUAGCGGUGAAAUGCGUAGAUAUCGGAAGGAACACCUGUGGCGAAAGCGGCUCACUGGACCAUAACUGACGCUGAUGCACGAAAGCUAGGGGAGCAAACAGGAUUAGAUACCCUGGUAGUCCUAGCCCUAAACGAUGAUUGUUUGAUGUGGGGGGUACCCAAUCCUCCCGUGUCGAAGCUAACGCGAUAAACAAUCCGCCUGGGGAGUACGGUCGCAAGGCUGAAACUUAAAGGAAUUGACGG